AUGUUAUGUUUAAAAUGUUUUCAAACAAUACAGGGUGAUGUAACAUUGUUUGAUUUUGUUUUUCACCAGAAUGCAUGUAAAUCGAAACGUUUUUCUCCCUGCAGUUAAGUUACUUAGAAAUUUUGUAGACUGGAGAAAAUGUUAAUGCUGUUUUACAGAUACUAGUGAAAAUUACUUUACUGAAGCUUUAGAAGGAAAAUACCCAUGUCUGCAGUUACACUUGGAAAGAAGGAAAUGUCAGAUAGAAGUCAAGAAAAAAGAUUUUUCAACAUUUGAUGAUGUAGUAGAAAAUACUGAAAUAGCACAGGGUGUGUUACUUGGGGUUGUCUGCAACUUCAAGCUGGUUCCUUGAUAAAUUGUGGUUUAAUGGACUGUUAUCAUGAUGCAUCCAUAUUGCCACAGAUAGCUAGAAACUAGUGAAUUUAUAACUGAUAUAACUAAUUAUGAAAAUUUUCCUUUUCAAAAUAAACCACUGAACAUAUGAGAAGAAUGUGGCAUUACUCCUAUUUUAUCUGGAAGUGACCAUGAAUGUAAUAAUGAAGAUGAAAAUUACCUUGAUCUUGAUAAUGUGUAUGAAGAGGAAACAAUUGACUUGUGGAAAGCCAGUAACUAAAAGCUGAAAUCUCCCUAAAAAAAAGAAACUUAUCCAACUAACAGAGAAAGCAUAUACCUAUGACCUGUGUGAUAGAAGUUUAAAAUCACAUAAUUUCAUCUACACAGGAAAAAGACCAUACUGUUGUAAUAUUUGUGGAAAGAAAUUCAGGGUGUCCAGCCACUUAAAAGACCAUCGGGUGAUUCACACGGGAAUGAGACUUUAUAGUUGUUACAUAAGUGGAAGAACAUGUACACAAGCUGGAAACCAGAUACCAUUUGAUCCAUAAGAAACAUAAUUUGUAUGUUAAAAUGUAUUUUUUAAGCAUUUGUUAUAGCUUUGUAUUUAUAUGAUUAUUUGAAUGGAAAAACAUGUUGUUAAGACUGUUGAAGAGUUUACAAUAAGUGAUCCAGAAAACAGUUAUCAGUUAUUAGCUAUAAAAGAGCUAACUAAUCUUUGAGAAAUAAGAUACAAAUAGUUGUAAAGAGAAAGGAUCUUAAUGAUUAUUUGUCAGAAAAUUUUUGAUUUAAAUUCUGUUUAAGUGUGUUGUUUUAUUGUUGAAACUUUCAAAGUAUUUGAGCUAACAGCAAAAUGAAUAACACUAGGCAAUGACAACAACAACACAUUUUCUCUGCUACUAGAAAAAAAUGCAACUGUUUCUAAAUAAUUUGACGAUGCUGAUUCUAAAAAUCAUGUUGAAAAUUACUAUCACCUUUAGUUUUCUAGUUAUGAUAGACUUAUUCAAAUUAUUCUUAUAUAUUGUGAAAAUUGCAUGAGUGUAAAACAAGUGUAAUAAGAUUAUAUAGUGAAAAUACAUUCAGGCUAUUUUCAAAAGUUUCAUUGUGGUAAUUUUUUUGUUACAAAAUAUCUGCUUGACCUGUUGUGCCUUUUUUGUAUAUUCUCAAUUUCUUUCUGUAAGAACCAUCAGUAAUCUCCCAUUAUUGCAGGGUUCCAUCAUCCUUGAUAUUGCUGUUCUAUUGUAACAAUAUCUUGGUGGAAGCGCUCACCAUGCUGAUCACUCUCUGCACCUGAAAAAAACAGUUAACUUUUAAAUGUUACAUAUCUGCAUUAAUUUAUUUAUUAAGAAUCUAUCAAUCAUAGUUUAAAUAUUAUUUCUCCAAGUAUUUUUUUAUCAGAACU
rnacentral:lncRNA from 1 species